rnacentral:rRNA from 1 species
CAUAAGCGGAGGAAAAGAAACCACCAGGGAUUACCUCAGGGAUUACCUCAGUAACGGCGAGUGAAGCGGUAAAAGCUCAAAUUUGAAAUCUGGCUCUUUUAGAGUCCGAAUUGUAAUUUGUAGAAGAUGCUUCGGGUGUGGUUCCGGUCUAAGUUCCUUGGAACAGGACGUCAUAGAGGGUGAGAAUCCCGUAUGUGACUGGAUACCUAUGCUCAUGUGAAGCUCUUUCGACGAGUCGAGUUGUUUGGGAAUGCAGCUCAAAAUGGGAGGUAUAUUUCUUCUAAAGCUAAAUAUUGGCCAGAGACCGAUAGCGCACAAGUAGAGUGAUCGAAAGAUGAAAAGCACUUUGGAAAGAGAGUUAAACAGUACGUGAAAUUGUUGAAAGGGAAGCGCUUGCAAUCAGACUUGCACUUGGUGUUCAUCAGGGUCUCGUACCCUGUGUACUUCAUCAAGUUCAGGCCAGCAUCAGUUUGAGUGGUUAGAUAAAGGCUUAGAGAAUGUGGCCCUCUUCGGGGGGUGUUAUAGCUCUAGGUGCAAUGUAGCCUACUUGGACUGAGGACCGCGCUUCGGCUAGGAUGCUGGCGUAAUGGUUGUAAGCGACCCGUCUUGAAACACGGACCAAGGAGUGUACCUAAUAUGCGAGUGUUUGGGUGUUAAACCCAUACGCGUAAUGAAAGUGAACGCUGGUGAGAACCCUUAAGGGUGCAUCAUCGACCGAUCUUGAUGUCUUCGGAUGGAUUUGAGUAAGAGCAUAUUGGGUGCGACCCGAAAGAUGGUGAUCUAUACGUGAAUAGGGUGAAGCCAGAGGAAACUCUGGUGGAGGCUCGCAGCGGUUCUGACGUGCAAAUCGAUCGUCAAAUUUGCGUAUAGGGGCGAAAGACUAAUCGAACCAUCUAGUA